rnacentral:rRNA from 1 species
UACGUAGGGCGCAAGUGUUGUCCGGAAUUACUGGGCGUAAAGAGUUCGUAGGCGGUUUGUCGCGUCGUUCGUGAAAACUUGGGGCUUAACUCCAAGCGUGCGGGCGAUACGGGCAGACUUGAGUACUACAGGGGAGACUGGAAUUCCUGGUGUAGCGGUGAAAAUGCGCAGAUAUCAGGAGGAACACCGGUGGCGAAGGCGGGACUCUGGGCCGAUACUGACGCUGAGGAGCGAAAGCGUGGGGAGCGAACAGG